CUACGGGAGGCAGCAGUGGGGAAUCUUGCGCAAUGGGCGAAAGCCUGACGCAGCAACGCCGCGUGGGGGAUGAAGGCUCUCGGGUCGUAAACCCCUUUCAGGAGGGACGAAAAUGACGGUACCUCCAGAAGAAGCCCCGGCCAACUACGUGCCAGCAGCCGCGGUAACACGUAGGGGGCGAGCGUUGUCCGGAUUUAUUGGGCGUAAAGAGCUCGUAGGCGGCUUGGUAAGUCGGGUGUGAAAUUUCGAGGCUCAACCUCGAACUGCCAUCCGAUACUGCUAUGGCUAGAAUCCGGUAGAGGAGUGUGGAAUUCCUGGUGUAGCGGUGAAAUGCGCAGAUAUCAGGAAGAACACCGAUGGCGAAGGCAGGUUUCUGGGCCAUAACUGACGCUGAGGAGCGAAAGCGUGGGGAGCAAACAGGAUUAGAUACCCCGGUAGUCC
rnacentral:rRNA from 1 species